rnacentral:tmRNA from 1 species
GGGGACGACCUGGCUUCGACGUCGGCUACAAAACCUGAGGUGCAUGUCGAGAAUGUAGAAAAACUCGUUAAAUCUUCUGCAAACAUAUAGUUGCAAACGACGACAACUACGCAAUCGCUGCUUAAUAACCAGUAGAUUGCUGUCUGACUGGAGCCGUGUCUAUGCGUCCAGGUUCCUUCACUUUCGGGUGAUAGAACGAUCAGGCAUCGCUCUCAUAGAAUCGUGAUGGAAGCUCGUUCGGGGCGGAAGCAUUAAAAAAAUACCGAAACCGCUUGCUGUUUUCUUAGUCUGACGGGUAGCAGCUCGCUAAAUUAAAGUUCAGAAUAAACAUGUAGAGCCAAUGGCAGAGGACUGGCGGACGGGGGUUCGACUCCCCC